UGAUCAGUGUAACAACAUUGCUAUUUUUCUUUGUUUUACUCUCUAAGAGCAUCAUCAACGCGGGUGCUUAGCCCGGGAUUUUAGUGUUUUUAGAUUUAAAAAAAAAUAAAAAUUGCGUAAUUAAAGAAGCCACGCUGCUUAAUUAAGAGUCAGAAGACCCGUUGCUUAUGAACACGUGUCAGACAUUCACCAUUCUUCCUCUCUUUCGACGAAAUCGUCCGCCUCUCUCUUUUCUCGAUCACACAGUGGGUGAUGGAAAAGGAACACAGAGUCUUCUCCCUCCAUUCUAGAUGCCUCCGUUCACCGUCGUGGCUGUUGAUGCGACAGUCAGUUUCUUCGUCGGAUGAUCUCAGCAAGAAGAUUAGGAAGCCUUAUACCAUCACCAAGUCGAGGGAGAGCUGGACGGAGCCUGGGCACGACAAGUUCCUCGAAGCUCUUCAGCUUUUGACAGAGACUGGAAGAAGAUUAAAGCUUUUAUUGGGUCAAAAAUUGUGAUUCAGGUACAGUAUAUUGGAAGAAGAUUGAAGCUUUUAAAACGACUUUACUCGUGUAGCUUUGUUUUUUUUCAACUUUAUGUUGUGUAAUGUGUAAUGUUGACAAAAGCUUGUUUUUAUAUGAAACCGCAAGCUUUCUCUUUGAUUCUUGUUCUCACUUCGCACUUGGUGAGCUUCUCUCAGUCUUACUCUGUUUUUACUUAUCUUA